GUGUACAUUCGCUUUACCUUCGCCCUUACAUGUGUGUGUAUAUUCAAAUCCCGUUUUUAGCACAACAGACUUUGCGAUAGAAAAGAAAACAAAAACAAAAGAAUGCCACCUUUUUUUCUUCUUUUCAAAUUUUUAUUUACCCAAGAUUAUUUUGGGUUUUUGAGUUACAUUUUUUCCCCGUUUUUCUUGAAAUGUAUCUGGUACUUCCGGUACAUAUACCGAAGUUACGCCCAAACUUUUAUUCAACCUCUCCGUACCCGCUCCAUUUUUUUUUUUUAAGUUUGAGCCGGGAAGGACGGUUGGCGACCCCUCGAUAUUGGUAUAGCGUUGGAAUCAGGACAGGACGUCAUUCGCCCUAUUAAAGAAAUUAAAUAUUACACAGAGAAUGUGAAUAUUUGUUGACAACGGAAACUCGAGUUAGCAACCCAACAGAAGAAUAGAGCGGAGAUUAUGUAAUUAGUUCAUAAUGGAAAGUCCUUCAGAUUUCGAAUUUUCGAUUUUGGACCUUGAAUCACUUUUAUCUCGCGAUGUUUUACGAUCACUUCAAUACUUGAUGCGUGGCACACCGUGUGCCUGUUCAGAUAAAGUCAAUUUGAAGAGGGGGAGCUCAUGUGCGGCACGAACAUUUGAUAACAAUAAACAAAUCAUUCGUGCAUGUCGUUCGGCAAACGAAGAGUCCGUUAAAUAGAAAAGGUCUUUUACGUUUCGAGCCUACGCUCUUCUACAGAAAGGUACACAGAAAAAACAAGGAGAGAAAAAAAUGUGUGUAGUGGCUAACAAAUAUAUAUAUAUACAUCUAAUAUAGGAUGAAAUUUUUUACGAAAAGAAAUUUUAUCAAUGGCCAGCAUAUUAAAAAAAUACCUUUAAAGGUUAAAUUUUUUAUUUAGUUUAUUUAUUUUUGUCCCACACUCGUUCGGCAACGUUUUCGCUUUCGGCCAUUUUUAGAUUUACAGUUUUUAAAAGUAGGGAGUAAAGAUUUACUAAAACUACUGACGGAAACCAAACACCGCCCAAAUUAACUUUUUCCGUGUAAAGAUUGUUUUUUGUUUUGUUUUGUUUUGUUCCUUGCAUAAUGGCAAUUAUUAUAACUUGGUUUGCGAGUUGGUUAUUGAAAUAAAAUACAAGAGACUUUGGAUUUUUGACACUUCUCUAAAUGAAGAGAUGCUGUCGGUGACAUGAGGGUAAAUUUGAAGUUUAUAGAUUGUUUUCGGAACAGUAAAAUUCGGCAACGUGCUUUUUGGUUUUUGUUGUUUUUUCUUUCUUUUAGCAAUGGAAUAUUUUUUUUAAAUUCAUCAUCCUUUCAGUAGAAGUCAUCGGAAUCCAUGUAUAAGUCAUCGGAAUCCAUGUAUAAGUCAUCAUCCUUCCAGUAGAAGUCAUCGGAAUCCGUGCUUGAGUCAUCAAAAUCCAUGCUUAACCGGUUGUUUGAUGAUGGACCUCGGACUUUUAUACUUUGGCCAUCGUUAAGCGUCGUGAACUUCGAUGGUGGUAGUGCCGCCGACGUAACGUGAACCCUUAUCUUCAAGUCUGGUUGACUCCGACUUUGCAGCUCUUUGAAAACGUAUAGCCUCCUAUUGUCAGUGCUGUAGUAUUUCCCAUCCUUUAGGUAAACCGAAAUUACAGGAAUGCCGUCAGGCGUGAUUGUACCUUUGACUAAAUCUGAAAUGGUUUCUGUCAAUGUUGUCCCGUUACGGAACUGACAGGCAAUUGAAUCUUGAGUAUAACGGAUGUCGCUUGGACUGAGUCUAAGGCUCAUUGUGUUUGUGAGUGUAUAUAUAGUCUUCGUACCAGGUGGAAAGAAAUACCGUAGAUGCUAUUGAAAAUAAUUCAAGAGUGGAAAGUUUACUCACAGUAUGUAUAUUUCCAGGAUUUCUAAAUUCAGUCGAGAAAUGACAUCGAAAGGAUCGUUCGUAAUCAAGGAGAAUUGCCGAUACUUAAUGCAUAGAAUUCGAUUAACGUAGUGUGUAGAAGUCUUAAUUAAUAUUCCAUAGUAUCCGAAGUGAUUGAUUGAAAUAUAAUAUUGUAGAAGUGAAGGCUUGUUGAGAUGUGUGAAUGUAUAUAAUUUCAGUUACGAGUGUGUUUAGCAAGCGACGACUUGAGGUGAUAGGAAGCGAAUGCGUCAUCUGAAAUAGCCAGGAUAUAAAAUACAGAAGUGCGCGCGCGAUUAUGCUUUUCGUGGAAAUUAAAGUGAAAGUAAAUCCGUUCUAUUUAAAGUUUUGGGUUUUCCUUUCUUUUCACGGAAGAGAUAUGUGAGAUAGGAGUUCGUUAAUGCAGCCGUACCAUGAAAAGAGACGAAAGAACAAUGCAGAAAUAUGUUUCUAUAAAUAAUGCUUAUGUGCCUAUGUGUGUAUAUAUAUACAUACACAUAUAUUACGUAGUGUAUGUAUAUACAUACAUACACACAUAUAUAUAUAUACAUAUAUAUACAUACAUAUAUACAUAUAUAUAUACAUAUAUAUAUACAUAUAUAUAUAUACAUAUGUAUGUAUAUAUAUAUAUGUCUAUGUAUAUUUAUGUAUAUAUAUAUAUAUAUAUGUGUGUGUGUAUAUAUAUAUAUAUGUAUAUAUAUAUAUACACACACACAUACAUGUGCACGAGUGGCUGUGUGGUAAGUAGCUUGCUUAUUAACCACAUAAUUCCGGGUUCAGUGCCACUGCGUGGCACCUUGGGCAAGUAUCUUCUACUAUAGCCUCGGGCCGACCACAGCCUUGUGAGUGGAUUUGGUAGACGGAAACUGAAAGACAUAUAUGUAUAUGGAUAUAUAUGUGUUUGUGUGUCUGUGUUUGUUCCCCCAACAUCACUUGACAACCGAUACUGCUGUGUUUACGUCCCCGUAUAUUAGCGGUUCGGCAAAAGACACUGAUAGAAUAAGUACUAGGCUUACAACGAAUAAGUCCUGGCGUCGAUUUGCUCGACUAAAGGCGGUGCUCCAGAAUGGCCGCAGUCAAAAACCUGAAACAAGUAAAAGAGAGGCGUGUGUGUGUGUGUACAUUUACAUUCAUACAAACGCACCGCUGACAUAAUUACACAAGCAUGCAUAUUAGACAGACAGACAGGUAGGCAGGUAGGACUUGGAUGGAUCCGGCGGACUGGUGGAUGGAUAGAGCGAGCAGAAACAGAAAAUGAAAUUAACGAGAUUCUUUAUUAUAAACCUCCACAAUCGUUACAUACAGAAAUGCGCGCGCGAUUAUACUUUUCGGGGAAAUUAAAGUGAAAGUGAAAGUAAAUCCGUUCUAUUUAAAGUUUUCGGUUUUUCAUUUCUUUUCACGGAACAGACAUGUGAGAUAGGGGUUCGUUAAUGCAGCCGUACCAUGAAGUGAGACGAAAGAACAAUCUUUGAGACUUUACUGUUUUACAACGAGGGGCAUGGAAACACUGUUUAUGGUGUCAGCUCUCACAGGAAUAUACUAUAUAUUAGGGCGGCGAGCUGGCAGAAUCGUUGGCACGCCGGGCGAAAUGCGUAGCCGUAUUUCGUCUGCCGUUACAUUCUGAGUUCAAAUUCCGCCGUGGUUGACUUUGCCUUUCAUCCUUUCGGGGUCGAUAAAUUAAGUACCAGUUACGCACUGGGGUCGAUGUAAUCGACUUAAUCCGUUUGUCUGUCCUUGUUUGCCCCCUCUAUGUUUAGCCCCUUGUGGGUAGUAAAGAAAUAAGGAAUAUACUAUAUAAUAUAUAAUAUAUUCUAUGCAGAAAUAUGUUUCUAUAAAUAAUGCUUAUGUGCCUUUGUGUGUAUAUAUAUACAUACACAUAUAUUACGUAGUAUAUGUAUAUACAUAACACACAUAUAUAUAUACAUAUAUAUCCCUGUACCUUGCAGGCGAGAUACUGUACAGUCAAUUGUCUUACAUCACAGGUGUAGAUUGUGUCUGUCCCCUUAGGUGACUUCUUGAAUAAGUACCUCGUUUUUUAGUCAUCGUUUUGCUUAGUUGUUGCAAUAUUCUAGUGUCCCCUUAAGGAACUGAUAGAAAAGACACACUUCCUCUCAAAGAAGUUUAUAAAAACUAUAAAAAGAUACGUAAAAAUGUAUAUGAGAAGAGACUCUCGUGAAAUCCCAUUUUCCGUCUCUGAUUUUGUUGUAUAAACUGAUAUCAUUUAAAAUAAUUCAAUGAAAAGGAAUGUAUUUUACAAAAACUAAAAGGAGAAAGAAAAAAAUAUCAAUGCAGGAGCCCCCAAACAAGCAUUGCCAAGAUAGCAGACAUUCAAGUCUAGGUCAGCUCCCAUCUUGAUAACAUCGUCAAUAGCCAGGGCAAAUAGAGAAGGUCCAAGUGGGUGGGUCAUCCUGUUAAUUUCAGGAUAAAUUCAAAACGACAUGAAUAAAAGAAAAUAUUACAUUUGAUAGAAUAAUCUGAAUACUGAAGGGUCAAACAACUGUAUGUCUACAUUUGCCCACCCACCCCUGUAUUCACUAAUCCAGCAUUGACAGAUCAAUAUCUUUAUAUAUAAAAGAGAGGUUGUGUGUCUGUCUCCUACGAUUUAGAUUCCUAACUACUCCCACAUUUUGCGGUGCAGUUUAACCAAAACCGGGUAUCUUAUAGUCGUGAUUCAUAUCGAGGCCUUCUGGGUAUUAGCGCGCGUCUACGAUGAGUCUACGAUUUUAAAAAAAUUUACCAUCAUUUUUUUCCAUUUUAAUGCAUUUUUUUCGCUAAUAUAUAAGGGAAGUAACUCUCUAAAAAUGUCUACGAUGAGUCAACGAUUAAAAAAAAUUCACCAUCAUUUUUUUCCAUUUUUAAUGCAUUUUUUUGUUAUAACUCUCUAAAAAUGCUUAUAUAGUUAUUUCCCUUACAAACCCGAGCAACGCCGGGCGAUACUGCUAGUUUGAUGAUAAAAAAAAGACAAUAAUAAUAAAUAUGGUUCAAGUGGGUCAUCCUGUUGGACUUCAAAGACAGGUGGAAUGAGGUGGUCACCAAAGGCGAGGUUGGAGGGCUCCCGAUAAGCUUGCCAAGCAAAGUGAUAGAGGUUUUGAGCAGUCUCCCUUACUACACGGAAGAUGACAUCCCAACUGAUGGAAUUGAAAGCGUUUUUGAAGUCUAGUUUAAGGAUGACCUUUGGGGACUCAGAAGGCAAGUUAGUGAAAGCUCUAGUGGCAUGGGCUUCAGCCUCAUAGUCUAGCUUAGUACCCACCCGUAGCUGGGUAGGAGAAAAUUUGGCUGACAGGCAUUUAGAAAUUGAAGACAGACACACCUGUCGCAGAGUACCACCAAUUGCUAUGGGGCGGAAGUCACCAUUGGGCUUGGUAAGAGCAAAUAGUUUGGCACCAAAGAACAGGGGACGAAUGUAGGGAAGAACACACUCGCACGAGAACAAGUUUAUAAACUGCGAUAGGUUCUCCAAGAGCUCAAGACCAGCAUCAGCGGCUGACAGGGAGAUGUGGAGACCGUAAGCUAUCGAUCCCAGCACCAGAAACCCACUGGAAAAGAUGCAAUCGGGAUUUCCUGGCCGGCGGCCCGUGUCUCUCGGCAUGUAAGGCGGAGCGCUAUGAAAGGCCGAUCACAUUUGUGGAGGUCAUAGAGGUGCUUUCUGAGUGCCCCGGGGACAAGUCGCUCGGACUGGAUGGUCUUCCUUACGAAUUUUAUAAGAGUAUGCCAAACUUGUUCGGGAACAUACUGGCCGGUGUAUAUGCGAACUGGUAGCAGAACAGGAGAAUCCCUAAAUAUGUGAGCCGGGGGUAGUGACACUGAUCAGGAAGGACCCGAGCAAGGGGAAUGACAUUAAUAACUUUAGGCCGAUAAUUCUGCUAAACACAGAGUUAAAGAUUUUGGCCAAUUGUUAGCCAAGAGAUUGAGACUUGUAGUGGGCGACCUGGUGGGAGAAGCACAGACAUGUGCCAUCCCAGGCAGGACAAUACACGACAACCUUCACCUCAUACACGACACUAUAGAGCGGGUGGGUAAAAUUUCUGGCAAAUGUAGGGCACUGGUGAAUUUAGACCAGUCUAAGGCAUUCGAUAGGGUUGACCAUCGGUAUCUGGGAGCAGUCCUCAGGGCGGUUGGACUGGACUCGACUGUUCGUAGAUGGUUCAAUGCUAUGUAUAGCGACAUCGAUUCAAUCGUCCGGGUAAACGGUUUCUUCUCGAAGCCGUUCGUGAUCGAACGUUCAAUUCGCCAGGCCUGCCUCCGCUUCUGUAUGUAUUGGCACUUGAGCCACUGCUGCGGAAAUUGGAGGCCACGCGGGGAGAUCCGCGUGAUCUAUGUUACGGUAGGAGAGUGACGGCAUAUGCGGAUGAUGUCACCAUCAUCGUGUCUGAUGAAAGGCAGCUUCCUCGUGUAGAAGAGGCCCUGAAAAGAUACGGACAGGUGGCAGGAGCAAAAAUUAACUAGGAAGUAUCAGUCGGCUUGCAACUCGGCACCCGUAGGGGCAAGUCGAUGUCUCCCAACAGCUUCGUGGGACGUUGGACGGUUAAAUUGCUUGGAGUCUGGUUUGGACCACAUCUCCAGAUGGAGAAAAACUGGAGCGAGGUCACAGGCAAGGUGACGGCCAUAACCCAGACUUGAUCUGGGAGGUUGCUAUCCUUGCUAGGGAGGGCGGAGGUUGCACAGGUGUUUAUAGCAUCUGUGAUAACCAACCGCCUAACCGAUGUGCCUUGCCCUGGAGAGUGGCUGACCAAGCUGGAAUGGAUCCUUUUCCGCUUUUUGUGGAAUGGGAAACCACCACUUGUGAGGGGCCUCAUGUGCUGCCAGAAACCGUUAAAGGGUGGGUUAGGGAUGCCUUGGCUGAUGAUGCGCUGAGGUUGAGAAAACUGGCUCUACCUGGAUGGUGAACGGGUGUAGUCACCGCAUGUCAAGUUCUUCCUUCCACAAUUGACGUUCCCUCGGGACGUGGGCGCAUGGAUCACGCGGAGAACAAAAAUGAGCGAAUGGAAGAGGGAGUGCAGACAUGCACUCGCUCUGUUCUCCCGAACAAGCAAUACCGGCAGCGGGGCUACCACUACGGGUUGGUAGAGCAUAUGUCAGACGACAUCCUGGGGGAGACUAGGCUUCGAAGAGGAACAGCUUGUCAACCUGUUCGGAAGGACAUUCGGGCCGAGGUAUCUGGACAACUUCCAGACAUCCUUGGCUUGCUUGUGCUACCGAUCAGCCUUGUCAGUUCGAGGGAGGUUGUCAAGGCAUGGCGUUGGUACCCCACCCACAUGCCCGAGGUGCGGGCGUGUCAGUGAAACUGUCACGCACGCCUUCGUACAUUGUGAGGAACUAAGGGGACUGAUGACCUAUAUCGGACAACUGGUGUCAGAUAGGGAUUUCCUGGGGACCAUGAGUAAUGGAGCAACUCAGUCACUGGAAGAAAGACAUACAAUUCCGAGCUGUAACGUAUGUCCUAAUCCCGCUUUUGCUGACAAACGGGUGAACACGUUGCUAAGUUUGGGCGAAGCAGCUGCUGUCUCUAGCGUUCGGGUCGGGCUGUGUCAAAGGAUCUGUUACCACUGAAGGGUCUCCAUCAGAUCGAAGAGAAGGUAGGUUCCUUUAUUUCGAAUCUCUCGCACACACCACAGCCUUAAUUCGAAUUCGCUAUGAAGAUGAACUUUAUUCUCGCGUUUAUUUAUAGACAGCAUUUAGGCAAUCCGAUCAGAAACAGCCGUAAGAUAUGUUACAUCACCUAUUUUCUCAUGUCGUGCUUUGUUUUAAAAAAUAAGCUAUAAAUGUGGUCCAAUCGAUGUGUUGGUUAAUUUGUGGUUUCCGCCAUGAUUGAUCGUUAGCCACUACACACAUUUUUUUCUCUCCUUGUUUUUUCUGUGUCUCUUUCUGUAGAAGAGCGUAGGCUCGAAACGUAAAAGACUUUUCCUAUUCCUGAGCGUUAUACUAAUACAUCUGUUUGUUUUGUACACCACCUGUCUUCGUCUUUUGUUUUUUUUUUCGUAAACUCUCCCUAUAUAUAUAUAUAUAUAUAUAUAUAUAUAUAUAUAUAUAUAUAUAUAUAUAUAUAUAUAUAUAUAUAUAUAUCUUCUCUAUUUAUAUAACUGAAAUGCGAAAAAUUUGUUUGUUUGUUUUUCCGUCUGGUUUUGGCAUUGAGAACGGGUUAAAGGCCACUAGAUCCCGUCGGAUUGACUCCAAAAUUUACAGAGACAUGUAAAAUGAGGUGAUGAUGCCGAGGUUGACUUUCCCUUUCAUCUUUUCGAUGUGGAUAAAUUAAGUACCUAUUUCUUUAUUUACCCACAAGGGGCUAAACAUAGAGGGAACAAACAAAGACAGACCAACAGAUCGAGUCGAUUACAUCGACCCCAGUGCGUAACUGGUACUUAAUUUAUCGACCCCGAAAGGAUGAAAGGCAAAGUCGACCUCGGCAGAAUUUGAACUCAGAACAUGUAGACAGACGAAAUUACGCUAAGUAUUUUGCCCGGCGUGCUAACGGUUCUGCCAGCGAUAAAGUAAGUACCGGUCACGCACUGGGUCGAUAUAAUCGACUUAAUCCGCCUGUCCUUCUUUGUCUCCUCUGUGUUUAGCCCCUUGUGGGGGUAGUAAAGAAAAUGGGUUGUCAAGCGGUCGGGUUGAAACAAACACAGUUAUAAAGACAGACACACAUGGACCCAUUGACUUUCAUGAAUAGUGAAACACUCGCACGAUGUAUUUAUGUAUGUAUAGAGCAGUGCUUUUCAACCUUUUUGCUGGAGCGGAACCCCAAGGAAACGUUCCACUGGCUCGAGGAACCCCUGUGCAACAAUUUAAUUGUCUUAUAUACACACAUAUCUGCACAGGAGAAUUAAAAAUUACUGUCGAUUUUAGCAUUUUUGUAACUUCUUGCGCAACCCCUGGACUGUACUGGCGGAACCCUGGUUGAAAACCACUGAUGUACGUAUACAUGGAAGAUAGCAGGUGCACGUGCGAGCGUGUUCCACUUAAUAUAUUUGUAUUCACACACACACACACACACAUACAGUGUGUUUCACUAUUCAACUCGUAGACAUAAAAGUCAAUGGGAGUGUGUGUGUGUGUAUGAAAUUCAUUGUGUAAAUGUAAAGCGUAAGUAAGAAGGAAAAACCGAACGGCAGCAACCGAAAAUGAAAGUAAAUACUUGUCAGCCUGUGUAUGUGUAUCUAGACUUGGUUCGUAUCGCUUGGCCUGUGUCUGUGUGCACGAUAUAUACAGCGGCAUUUGCCUUGGAGUGAGAGCAGAAAGUGAAAGAUGUAUAUGAAUUGGAGGUGAGAGAGAGAGAGAGUGAGUGUUGUCAUGUGUGUAUUUUUUUUUGCAUCAGGAAUGGCUGUGUGGUAAGUAGCUUGCUUACCAACCACAUGGUUCUGGGUUCAGUCCCACUGCAUGGCACCUUGGACAAGUGUUUUCUACUAUAGCCUCGGGCUGAUCAAAGCCUUGUGAGUGGAUUUGGUAGACGGAAACUAAAAGAAGCCCGUCGUAUAUAUGUAUAUAUAUAUACCUGCCUUUACCUUCGAAACACGCAUUGAGUCGAACCAGGGGCAGCUGAUGAAGGGGAAUUUAAUGCACUUUUUGCUAUUUUUUUGCUAUAACUCUCUAAAAAUUCUUUAUAGUUAUUUCCCUUACAAGCCCGAGCAACGCCGGGAGAUACUGCUAGUAGUCUAUAAAUUUAGGAUGCUUUUGAAAGAUACAAUAUUUUAUCAUCAGAAUAUAUAUACUUUCUCACACAACAAUUAAGAUAUAUUUAUUUUAAAUCGUUCAUCUUUCUCAACACUCACACACGCAAAAAUUAGUUUGGGCCCGAUUUUUAUUACUAUUUUCUUUUUCCUUAGUGAAAAUCGUGCGGGUGAAAAGAUCAAUGGGGGUGGGGGUUGAAAUUUCCGAGGCUUCCACCUCACCCCACCCCGUUUUUCGGACCCCAAAAAGGGUUUUGUAGCAUAUUAGGUCACAGGAAUUCAUUCAACGAAACAAAAAAAAAAAAUUCCAAUGAUUCCGAGAAGCGGGGAGUCCCCCUCUUCUUCCGAACCAAAAUAAGGGAUUUGCAGCAUAUUAGGAGGUCAUGGUACCUGAUCCCACGCAAAAGAAUCGAGGAGUUAAUCGCUGGAUUUUUUUCUCUUUCUUGUAAUCCACGUAGACAUAUAGAGAGAUUACGAAUCUUUAAGAAUUUUUUAAAAACUUUUCUUGAAAGAAACACUCAAUUUCCUUGUCCAACUUCAAAUAUCCAUCAACUCCCCACUUUCAAAAGGCUAAAAACUCCCAAUGUUUCACUUUUAACUUUUUAGAAAGUGAGGAAGUUUUUCCAGAAAUAAUGUCGUUUAGCUGCUGUUUCUAGCAUGUCGGGUUUUCUGGUAAUGGUCUGAUAUUUUUGAAUGCGUGAAACAUCAAGGGAAUUUUGAGCUUUUUGAAAGUGGGGAGGUGAUGGGUGGGGGAGGGGGAAUUAAAUUUUUUUUUUUUUAAAUCCCAGAUUCGUAAUCUCUGUUUUUCUACAUGGAUUAAAAAGAAUUCGAAAAAAAAGUUAAUAAUUGAGAAAUUGGGGUGGAAGAAAUUAAAACUUUGAAAGCGUGGUUUUUGGACAAAAUCGUAUUCUUCAAUAUCGUAAACAGAUAUUUAAAAAAAAAAAAUUUUGAAAAAAAAAAAAAGUGUGUACCUUCGCUUUACCUUCGCCCUUACAUGUGUGUGUAUAUUCAAAUCCCGUUUUUAGCACAACAGACUUUGCGAUAGAAAAGAAAACAAAAACAAAAGAAUGCCACCUUUUUUUCUUCUUUUCAAGUUUUUAUUUACCCAAGAUUAUUUUGGGUUUUUGAGUAACAUUUUUUUUCCUGUUUUUUUUUUACAAUCUAUCAAAAAUACAAAAAGAAAAAACAGAUAUGGUUAAGAUAGUUUCAAACUUUGGCGAUCCUUCGGUAUAGGUACCGGAAGUGGCUUUGUUUACAUUUCUGGAGAUAACAGAAACCCUUUUCUCCUAACAUCCCAUAUUUAUAAAAAAAAACAACACUUUCUUGAAAUGUAUCUGGUACUUCCGGUACCUAUACCGAAGUUACGCCCAAACUUUUAUUCAACCUCUUCGUACCCGCUCCAUUUUUUUUUUUAAGUUUCAGCCGGGGAGGACGGUUGGCGACCCCUCGAUAUUGGUAUAGCGUUGGAAUCAGGACAGGACGUCAUUCGCCCUAUUAAAGAAAUUAAAUAUUACACAGAGAAUGUGAAUAUUUGUUGACAACGGAAACUCGAGUUAGCAACCCAACAGAAGAAUAGAGCGGAGAUUAUGUAAUUAGUUCAUAAUGGAAAGUUCUUCAGAUUUCGAAUUUUCGAUUUUCGUCCUUGAAUCACUUUUAUCUCGCGAUGUUUUACGAUCACUUCAACACUUGACGCGUGGCACACCGUGUGCCUGUUCAGAUAAAGUCAAUUUGAAGAGGGGGAGCUCAUAUGCGGCACGAACAUUUGAUAACAAUAAACAAAUCAUUCGUGCAUGUCGUUCGGCAAACGAAGAGUCCGUUAAAUAGAAAAAGUCUUUUACGUUUCGAGCCUACGCUCUUCUACAGAAAGGUACGCAGAAAAAACAAGGAGAGAAAAAAAUGUGUGUAGUGGCUAACAAUAUAUAUAUAUACAUCUAAUAUAGGAUGAAAUUUUUUACGAAAAGAAAUUUUAUCAAUGGCCAGCAUAUUAAAAAAAUACCUUCAAAGGUUAAAUUUUUUAUUUAAUUUAUUUAUUUUUGUCCCACACUCGUUCGGCAACGUUUUCGCUUUCGGCCAUUUUUAGAUUUACAGUUUUUAAAAGUAGGGAGUAAAAAUUUACUAAAAUUUCUUACGGAAACCAAACACCGCCCAAAUUAACUUUUUCCGUGUAAAGAUUGUUUUUUGUUUUGUUUUGUUUUGUUCCUUGCAUAAUGGCAAUUAUUAUAACUUGGUUUGCGAGUUGGUUAUUGAAAUAAAAUACAAGAGACUUUGGAUUUUUGACACUUCCUCUAAAUGAAGAGAUGCUGUCGGUGACAUGAGGGUAAAUUUGAAGUUUAUAGAUUGUUUUCGGAACAGUAAAAUUCGGCAACGUGCUUUUUGGAUUUUGUUGUUUUUUCUUUCUUUUAGCAAUGGAAUAUUUUUUUAAAAUUCAUAAUUCUACAAGAAGUCAUCAAAAUCCAUUGAUGCACUUCGGACUGUUAUACUUUGGCCAUCGUUAAGCGUCGUGAACUUCGAUUGUGAUAGUGCCGCCGACGUAACGGAAACCCUUAUCUUCAAGUCUGGUUGACUCCGACUUUGCAGCUCUUUGAAAACGUAUAGCCUCCUAUUGUCAGUGCUGUAGUAUUUUCCAUCCUUUAGGUAAACUGAAAUUACAGGAAAGCUGUCAGGCGUGAUUGUACGUUUGACUAAAGCUGAAAUGGUUUCGUCAAUGUUGUCCCGUUACGGAACUGACAGGCAAUUGAAUCUUGAGUAUAGUGGAUGUCGCUUGGACUGAGUCUAAGGCUCAUUGUGUUUGUGAGUGUAUAGUCUUCGUACCAGGUGGAAAGAAAUACCGUAGAUGCUAUUGAAAAUAAUUCAAGAGUGGAAAGUUUACUCACAGUAUGUAUAUUUUCAGGAUUUCUAAAUUCAGUCGAGAAAUGACAUCGAAAGGAUCGUUCGUAAUCAAGGAAAAUUGCCGAUACUUAAUGCAUAGAAUUCGAUUAACGUAGUGUGUAGAAGUCUUAAUUAAUAUUCCAUAGUAUCCGAAGUGAUUGAUUGAAAUAUAAUAUUGUAGAAGUGAAGGCUUGUUGAGAUGUGUGAAUGUAUAUAAUUUCAGUUGCGAGUGUGUUUAGCAAGCGACGACUUGAGGUGAUAGGAAGCGAAUGCGUCAUCUGAAAUAGCCAGGGUUUAAAUACAGAAUUGCGCGCGCUAUGAUGCUUUUGUGGAAACUAAAGUGAAAUAAUGGCAAUUAUUAUAACUUGGUUUGCGAGUUGGUUAUUGAAAUAAAAUACAAGAGACUUUGGAUUUUUGACACUUCCUCUAAAUGAAGAGAUGCUGUCGGUGACAUGAGGGUAAAUUUGAAGUUUAUAGAUUGUUUUCGGAACAGUAAAAUUCGGCAACGUGCUUUUUGGAUUUUGUUGUUUUUUCUUUCUUUUAGCAAUGGAAUAUUUUUUUAAAAUUCAUAAUUCUACAAGAAGUCAUCAAAAUCCAUUGAUGCACUUCGGACUGUUAUACUUCGGCCACCGUUACGCGUCGUGAACUUCGAUUGUGAUAGUGCCGCCGACGUAACGGAAACACUUAUCUUCAAGUCUGGUUGACUCCGACUUUGCAGCUCUUUGAAAACGUAUAGCCUCCUAUUGUCAGUGCUGUAGUAUUUUCCAUCCUUUAGGUAAACUGAAAUUACAGGAAAGCUGUCAGGCGUGAUUCUACGUUUGACUAAAGCUGAAAUGGUUUCGGUCAAUGUUGUCCCGUUACGGAACUGACAGGCAAUUGAAUCUUGAGUAUAGUGGAUGUCGCUUGGACUGAGUCUAAGGCUCAUUGUGUUUGUGAGUGUAUAGUCUUCGUACCAGGUGGAAAGAAAUACCGUAGAUGCUAUUGAAAAUAAUUCAAGAGUGGAAAGUUUACUCACAGUAUGUAUAUUUUCAGGAUUUCUAAAUUCAGUCGAGAAAUGACAUCGAAAGGAUCGUUCGUAAUCAAGGAAAAUUGCCGAUACUUAAUGCAUAGAAUUCGAUUAACGUAGUGUGUAGAAGUCUUAAUUAAUAUUCCAUAGUAUCCGAAGUGAUUGAUUGAAAUAUAAUAUUGUAGAAGUGAAGGCUUGUUGAGAUGUGUGAAUGUAUAUAAUUUCAGUUGCGAGUGUGUUUAGCAAGCGACGACUUGAGGUGAUAGGAAGCGAAUGCGUCAUCUGAAAUAGCCAGGGUUUAAAUACAGAAUUGCGCGCGCUAUGAUGCUUUUGUGGAAACUAAAGUGAAAUUUCUAUUUAUAAUUUUCGGGUUUUCCAAAAUUUGGCGGAGAUAAAGUGCUAGUACCUCACCCCGUUCCGCUUUCUUUUGGUAAUUUUUUAGAUUAACACCCGCACGAUUUUCACUAAGAAAAAAAAACUCGAUUUUUUUUUGCGUUGAAUCACGUACCCUGACCUCCUAAUAUGUUGUAAAUCCCUUAUUUUGGUUCGGAAAAACGGUGGGGGUCAAGGGGAAAUAUAUUUAAUAACGAAACAUGUCAUGUAAUUCACACUCUGGGAAAUUUAUUUCUGUAAAAUGUUUUGUUUUUUUUUUCUUAAAAGCACAAGAUAUCUUUAUAUAUAAAAGUAAGGUUGUGUGUCUGUCUACUCCGAUUUAGAUUCCUAACUACUGCCACAUUUUGCGGUGCAGUUUAACCAAAGCCGGGUAUCUUAUAGUCGUGAUUCAUAUCGAGGCCUUCUGGGUAUUAGCGCGCGUCUACGAUGAGUCUACGAUUUUAAAAAUAAUUUACCAUCAUUUUUUUUCCAUUUUAUUGCAUAUUUUUUAAAUAUAAGGGAAGUAACUCUCUAAAAAUGUCUACGAUGAGUCAUCGAUUUAAAAAUAAUUUACCAGCAUUUUUUUCCAUUUUUAAUGCAUUUUUUGCUAUUUUUUCGCUACAACUCUCUAAAAAUGCUUUAUAGUUAUUUCCCUUACAAACCCGAGCAACGCCGGGAGAUACUGCUAGUAGUCUAUAAAUUUAGGAUGCUUUUGAAAGAUACAAUAUUUUAUCAUCAGAAUAUAUAUAAUUUCUCACACAACAAUUAAGAUAUAUUUGUUUUAAAUCGUUCAUCUUUCUCAACACACACACACACACGCAAAAAUUAGUUUGGGCCUGAUUUUUAUUACUAUUUUCUUUUUCCUUAGUGAAAAUCGUGCGGGUGAAAAGAUCAAUGGGGGUGGAGGUUGAAAUUUCCGAGGCUUCCACCUCACCCCACCCCGAUUUUCGGACCCCAAAAAGGGUUUUGUAGUAUAUUAGGUCACAGGAAUUCAUUCAACGAAACAAAAAAAAAAGAAAAAAUUCCAAUGAUUCCGAGAAGGGGGGGAGUCCCCCUCUUCUUCCGAACCAAAAUAAGGGAUUUGCAGCAUAUUAGGAGGUCAUGGUACCUGAUCCCACGCAAAAGAAUCGAGGAGUUAAUCGCUGGAUUUUUUUCUCUUUCUUGUAAUCCACGUAGACAUAUAGAGAGAUUACGAAUCUUUGAGAAUUUUUUAAAAACUUUUCUUGAAAGAAACACUCAAAUUCCUUGUCCCACUUCAAAUAUCCAUCAACUCCCCACUUUCAAAAGGCUAAAAACUCCCAAUGUUUCACUUUUAACUUUUUAGAAAGUGAGGAAGUUUUUCCAGAAAUAAUGUCGUUUAGCUGCUGUUUCUAGCAUGUCGGGUUUUCUGGUAAUGGUCUGAGAUCUUUGAAUGCGUGAAACAUCAAGGGAAUUUUGAGCUUUUUGAAAGCGGGGAGGUGAUGGGUGGGGGAAGGGUUAAAUUUUUUUUUUUUUAAAUCCCAGAUUCGUAAUCUCUGUUUUUCUACAUGGAUUGAAAAGAAUUCGAAAAAAAAAGUUAAUAAUUGAGAAAUUGGGGUGGAAGAAAUUAAAACUUUGAAAGCGUGGUUUUUGGACAAAAUCGUGUUCUUCAAUAUCGUAAACAGAUAUUUAAAAAAAAAAAUUUUGAAAAAAAAAAAAGGUAGUGUGUACAUUCUCUUUACCUUCGCCCUUACAUGUGUGUAUAUAUAUAUAUAUAUAUAUAUAUAUAUAUAUAUUCAAAUCCCGUUUUUAGCACAACAGACUUUGCGAUAGAAAAGAAAACAAAAACAAAAGAAUGCCACCUUUUUUUCUUCUUUUCAAAUUUUUAUUUACCCAAGAUUAUUUUGGGUUUUUGAGUUACAUUUUUUCCCCGUUUUUCUUGAAAUGUAUCUGGUACUUCCGGUACCUAUACCGAAGUUACGCCCAAACUUUUUUUCAACCUCUUCGUACCCGCUCCAUUUUUUUUUUUAAGUUUCAGCCGGGGAGGACGGUUGGCGACCCCUCGAUAUUGGUAUAGCGUUGGAAUCAGGACAGGACGUCAUUCGCCCUAUUAAAGAAAUUAAAUAUUACACAGAGAAUGUGAAUAUUUGUUGGCAACGGAAACUCGAGUUAGCAACCCGACAGAAGAAUAGAGCGGAGAUUAUGUAAUUAGUUCAUAAUGGAAAGUUCUUCAGAUUUCGAAUUUUCGAUUUUGGACCUUGAAUCACUUUUAUCUCGCGAUGUUUUACGAUCACUUCAAUACUUGAUGCGUGGCACACCGUGUGCCUGUUCAGAUAAAGUCAAUUUGAAGAGGGGGAGCUCAUGUGCGGCACGAACAUUUGAUAACAAUAAACAAAUCAUUCGUGCAUGUCGUUCGGCAAACGAAGAGUCCGUUAAAUAGAAAGGUCUUACGUUUCGAGCCUACGCUCUUCUACAGAAAGGUACACAGAAAAAACAAGGAGAGAAAAAAUGUGUGUAGUGGCUAACAAUAUAUAUAUAUACAUCUAAUAUAGGAUGACAUUUUUUACGAAAAGAAAUUUUAUCAAUGGCCAGCAUAUUAAAAAAAUACCUUUAAAGGUUAAAUUUUUUAUUUAAUUUAUUUAUUUUUGUCCCACACUCGUUCGGCAACGUUUUCGCUUUCGGCCAUUUUUAGAUUUACAGUUUUUAAAAGUAGGGAGUAAAGAUUUACUAAAACUACUUACGGAAACCAAACACCGCCCAAAUUAACUUUUUCCGUGUAAAGAUUGUUUUUUGUUUUGUUUUGUUUUGUUCCUUGCAUAAUGGCAAUUAUUAUAACUUGGUUUGCGAGUUGGUUAUUGAAAUAAAAUACAAGAGACUUUGGAUUUUUGACACUUCUCUAAAUGAAGAGAUGCUGUCGGUGACAUGAGGGUAAAUUUGAAGUUUAUAGAUUGUUUUCGGAACAGUAAAAUUCGGCAACGUGCUUUUUGGUUUUUGUUGUUUUUUCUUUCUUUUAGCAAUGGAAUAUUUUUUUAAAAUUCAUAAUUCUACUAGAAGUCAUCGGAAUCCGUGCUUGAGUCAUCAAAACCAAUGCGUAACCAGCCUAUUGAUUUAUAUCGGACUGUUAUACUUUGGCCAUCGUUAAGCGUCGUGAACUUCGAUUGUGAUAGUGCCGCCGACGUAACGUGAACCCUUAUCUUCAAGUCUGGUUGACUCCGCCUUUGCAGCUCUUUGAAAACGUAUAGCCUCCUAUUGUCAGUGCUGUAGUAUUUCCCAUCCUUUAGGUAAACCGAAAUUACAGGAAUGCUGUCAGGCGUGAUUGUACCUUUGACUAAAUCUGAAAUGGUUUUUGUCAAUGUUGUCCCGUUACGGAACUUACAGGCAAUUGAAUCUUGAGUAUAGCGGAUGUCGCUUGGACUGAGUCUAAGGCUCAUUGUGUUUGUGAGUGUAUAUAUAGUCUUCGUACCAGGUGGAAAGAAAUACCGUAGAUGCUAUUGAAAAUAAUUCAAGAGAGGAAAGUUUACUCACAGUAUGUAUAUUUCCAGGAUUUCAUAAUUCAGUCGAGAAAUGACAUCGAAAGGAUCGUUCGUAAUCAAGAAUUGCCGAUACUUAAUGCAUAGAAUUCGAUUAACGUAGUGUGUAGAAGUCUUAAUUAAUAUUCCAUAGUAUCCGAAGUGAUUGAUUGAAAUAUAAUAUUGUAGAAGUGAAGGCUUGUUGAGAUGUGUGAAUGUAUAUAAUUUCAGUUGCGAGUGUGUUUAGC
rnacentral:lncRNA from 1 species